rnacentral:tRNA from 4 species
GCCGAGGUGGGGUAGCCUGGUAGCCCUCAGGGCUGUGGACCCUGCAGCGCGAGUUCGAAUCUCGCCCUCGGCC